CUGCUGCCUCCCGUAGGAGUCUGGUCCGUGUCUCAGUACCAGUGUGGGGGACCUUCCUCUCAGAACCCCUACGCAUCGUCGCCUUGGUGGGCCGUUACCCCGCCAACAAGCUAAUGCGCCGCAUGCCCAUCCUCCGCCGGAAUCGCUUCCUUUUAACACCCGUGGGAUGCCCCACUGGUGUACCACGCGGUAUUAGUCCGGAUUUCUCCGGGUUAUCCCCCUGCGGAGGGCAGGAUGCAUACGUGUUACUCACCCGUGCGCCGGUCGCCGG
rnacentral:rRNA from 1 species